AAAGACUGAAGAGGAGAUAGAAGAUUACUCACAUGUAUGUGUCGCUGUCUGUUUCCAAUUUUUUUGUUUUUUUCUCUCUUCCCUCCUUUGUUAAAGUCGAC
rnacentral:ribozyme from 1 species